GACGAACCGUGCGAACGUUAUUCGGAAUCACUGGGCUUAAAGGGCGCGUAGGCGGGCAUUCAAGUCAGGGGUGAAAGCCCACGGCUCAACCGUGGAAGUGCCUUUGAUACUGGGUGCCUCGAGGGGUGCAGGGGCGUGCGGAACUUAGGGUGGAGCGGUGAAAUGCGUAGAUAUCCUAAGGAACACCGGUGGCGAAGGCGGCACGCUGGACACCUUCUGACGCUGAGGCGCGAAAGCCAGGGGAGCAAACGGGAUUAGAAACCCCAGUAGUCC
rnacentral:rRNA from 1 species